GUUUGUUGUGCUGUGAUUGUUGUGUUGUGCUGCUCACCUGUGUGAGGAGCUCUGUGGGACAUCACCCACACUGUUCCUGCUCUUGGGCAGAAUGGAACAGGGUAUGACUAAAGGCCAAGUUGCACAGAAACAUUUACAAGCAAUUGCAGAGUCUCACAUUCCAGCAGCUUGUUCCUCCACACAGAUCUAAACCACCACUCUGCACAUUUUAGAUGCUCAUUUCAUUCUUUUGCCCUGGAGUUCUGGCUGUGAUUCAUUCUUUGCAUUUAACAAAGAGAAUCAGAUCACAUAUAUAAGGUGAGUUGUGGGUGUCCUGACAGAAGGAUUUGGCCUUAUAUGUCCCACCUCCAGAUAUUUCUAUCCCCUUUUCCUUUUUUUUCCCCUCCAAGCAUGUUGUUACUGUCCAUGAGUCAUUUCAUUAAUCUGGAGAGAAGGCCAGAAAACAAGUGAAUAAACACCCUGCUUCACAACCUUCUGCUGCUCUGUUUACUUCUCUGCUAAUGAAUGAACAGCUGAAAACCAGAAUCAUCCUAUCUGGGGACAUUCAAAGGGACAUUAUCUCCUCUUUGUCAAUGGCUGGUGCCUGGCCCAGCCAGUGGCUGCACUGCAGGAUCAGAGGAUGAUCUCUGCAUGCUCCUGAUAACUCUCACACAGUGAGUGCAAUGACUGUAAAUCACAGAGCAGUCACACAACAGUCUGGGUUGGAAGGGACCUUAAUCCCAGAAACAAUGGAAAGGAACAUACAUGCAAGUCAAAAAGAAGAGCACAGGAAUCUUUUACCUUUCCUAUUAAAAAAAAAAAACAAAAAACCCCCCCAAAAACCCCCAAAAAACCCCAAACACAAAAAGCUGUGAUGCCAGACACAGGGGCCUGCCUGCAGCAGCACAAGGUCAAAUCUCAUGUGAACCAGGCUGGAACUCAGCCCAUGCUCUGAGUCCUGGGGUUGGCUUUGUGCACAUGGCCAGGGCUCUCCAUUUAUCAUGGAUCUGGCUGGCAGCCACCUGAAAUGUCCUGCUCCCCCUCCAGAGCUGUCAGAGCCAUCCUAUCUCCAGUGACAUGAAUAAAGACAGAUGAUCAAGGACUAAAUGAGAAACAAAUUAAUGUAGUCUCAGUUUUGCCUCCCCAGUUACAGGAAUUCAAGGUCUAUCUGCCACCAUGGCAGCCUGGGUGUGACUGGCCCUUGCAGCCCUGCAGCUGCAGGUGCAGAUGAGCAGUGCAGCUCACACUCCAUCCCAGCUCAUUUGGGAUUCACAGAAUCAAUGAGCCUCCCUCAAAAGCACAGACAGAGCUAAACCUUAGGACCAUAAUUUCUAACACUCUAAGGUGUUUAGUAAGUCCCUUUCAACUUAUAAGGAUAGGAAUGUUACCUUCAUAAAAGAAAUAUCUGAUGCCCAGAGAUGGCACUCUAAGUAACAUGCAGAUUUCUAUGAAUUAUUUUCAAAAUAAGGCAUUAAACUAAGCUUGUGCACUUCACAUAUUCCUUCCCCUUUGUUGCUACAUGUACUUGAGAUUUUGGAAUUUAGAUUAACGUUUAUAUUUCUGCACUUUGAUGCACAGUUGAACAUACCCUGCUCUGAUCCAAUUUCAAAGAGAAUCCAUUAAUUUUUAUAUCACGGAGGGUGAUGUUCAACCCCUCAGCUAAACACACAGUCCAACAGAACAUGAAAUUCAACAUUUGAUGACUUCUUUUCCUGCUCCCAUUGCAUAUCAGGACAGCAGCUUGUACAUGAAUCCUCAUGUGAGUCAUGUACAAUAUUUCCAUUUUUGUGACAAUUGGUCGCACGUGAUGUUUUUGACCCAAUUGUACACAAACAGAGGAAUCUGCCUAAAAUAUAUCCCUGUCUGUGAUAUUGGCACAGCACAGUGAGUUGUGUCACCUGGACUCCUCAAGACUUACAAAGAUGGACAGAGCCUCCAAACCUACCUGAGACAGGACGUCCUUGUGGCUGGCAGCAUUUGAGAUCAAGUCACUAUUUCAUCACACUCCUGGAUGGCUUGUAACACACAAACCAACACAAAGCUGGCAUUCAGCACAUCAAACAGCCUUUACCUAAUGUAAGACUAUUUCAGCAGAACAUAAUUUUCUUAUAAUCCAAUUGUAGCAGAAAAAAAAAAAACCCCAGAAGAAACCCCAAAUAUGACAUAGAAAUGGUCGUGAUCUAUCAGGCAGCUUCCCACAACACUGCAGUUUCCUGCAGAGCUGGGGACAGAGACUGAGCAUCAUUUACAGGCCCACAACUCCCAUACUGCCAGGCCUCACCUGCCUGGGCAGAACAACACAGGCAAUUCCAGCCAGGGCUCUUUCCCUCUGCUGCUCUCCUCCUCUUCCUUGGUUGGACAAAGCAAUGGCAGAGGGGAAAGAGAAAACUGAGACAUGGAAGCACACAGCAUUCACUGGCAGGGAGAACCUUACCUGUGUGAUGCUGUGGGAAAGGGCAAAGAGAACUUGACAACAACAUUUUUAGAGGCUUUGUGCCAGAGUACCUACUCCUAUGUACAUAAAUAUGUAUUUGUGCUUCUGAAUUGAAAGCAUUCGGGUCACAAAACUUGAAAUACUUCUGUUUGUAGAUUACUUUAGGGUAUAUAACUUCAAAGAUCAAAGCAACACAAAAGUCACUCUUGACAUGGACAUCAUCAUCCAAACAGAAAAUUAGCAUGGCUUUUUUUAAUCAUUUAGGCAGGAUAGUAUUUCUGAUUAAUAGAAAUUUGAAUUAAAUUUCUCCUUUCAUGUAUGCAGCAGUUAAUUCUAAUCAAGCAAGCUCAAGGUCUUCCGUUGCCUGGAUAGUAUUAAUUAGAUUCUUCCACAUUAUGACUUUGUCAUAUGCAUCCCUACAUGGCAUACAAAUAUCAACUUUCUUAUAAACAAAUAUGAACUUUCCUUUCAAAUUUCACUGGAAAUAAUUUUCUGGUGGUGGGAACAGAGAAAAACACAAAAUCUCAGGAAUCCUACAAAAAAAAGUAUCAGGCUUAAAAGAAAAUGCUUUGAAAUUAAUUUACUUAGUACAGAACAUGACCACCAUGAAGGUUCUGCACAAAAGAAAAAGUAAUAUUCAUGUGGGACUGUGGUUAUGGAAAUGAGGUUUGAUGUGUAUAGUAUGAGAUACUAUAAACCAAACAUUAAUGAAGUGCUGACUGAGGAUGGCUGAGCUCCUGCUGGCCAGGCACAUCAGUGUCCAACAGGAGCUGCUGGAAGCUCCAAGGAGCAGCAGCACAUUCCUUGUGACACAGGCAUGCACCUCCUGAGCUAAUCCCUGCUUGCUGUGCCAGGAUCCUCAAGGAACAGCCUAAAAACUGACUUGGUGCAGGAAUGACAAAUCAUUGGAGAAAACAUCUGAGAGCUCUCCCGAGUGCCAGCCAAGGUUGGAGGGGAUGCAGAGAAUCUAUUAUGAAAGAAGGAGGCAGACCGAGCUGAGUCACUUGAAAUCAGGAAAUGCAAUUCCUUCCUACUCCUCAGAUUUAAAAUAUCCUACAGCAUAAAACUUCUGUAGGAUCAUUUUUUUAUGUUUAGGGAAGAAACUGAAAUACUGCAGUCAGGUCUCUCUAAAGAAAGUAUUCAUGACUUCCAGCAGUAUAAAAUACAUCCAACUAUUGAAAUCAAGGAGCAGAAGAAAAUCAGAGGAUUUUGAAGGGCAAUAACCAGACCACCUCAUUUUACUCUUUUUAGUUGGGUGCAUUUCUUCGUAGACACCUUCUGUUUUCCUCAGAAGGUGAUUUUUCCUACAAUUAGCCCUUGCUUAGAACUUUCCUCCUUACCAUUUUACAGACAAUGAAGUUUUUUGCUUCCUGCCAGGUAACGGGAUUCCUUGAAACUCUUCCAAUCCUUCACACCACAAGGAGUUCAGAAAUAAAAGAAGUGGUGGUGCAACUGCAACUGAGCCAAGAAAAGAGAAAAAAAACCUUGCAUCAUGGAAUGGUAGCCUUGGGACAACUAAUUAGAAUUUUAUUCAAGACAAAAGUCAAACAAGUAGUGGUAAAGUGCAAGAUAGAAAUGCAAAAUUCCAAAAGCAAAAAUGAAAGGUAACUUCACCUUACAAACUUUCUGCAAGCAGCUUACUCAGGCAACUUUAGGAGAGCAGAAGUUAAUCUGCAAAGAUUAUUUAUUCAGUUAUUAGUUGCUCUAAAAAAAAUAAAAACUCUAUUAAUUUGGUUCACUAGCAGCAUUUACUCAAAAGUUUCAUUUAUAAACAUCAAGCUUAUCCUUGCUUUAGACUAACUCAGAAAAAACCCUGGAGUCUAUACUGUAGAUCUAUCUUUAGGAAAACAUAAUUAUUUCUGAAUCCAGGAACUGCUCUGGGUUGGAGCAGCAGCUAAUAUCCUAACCAGAAUUUCCUUGAUCAUUACUCAAGCAGUAGCAUUUUUAUUUAAGAAAACCUUAGUCCUCCUCCCCCACCAGUUUCCCCAUUUCUCUUCUAACACAUUCCAUUCUAAUUUUAGUCUUUUGAGAAGGUUUUUUUCCAGAUCAACCCACUCUUUUUCACAUUUAAAUAAUUUUCAGUUUUUAAAAGAGCUCAGUUUUAGCAGGUGCUUCAGUAGCUAGGCAAUAAGAAGUCUCUUGGGAACAUCUUCCAUGUUUCCCAAAUGGAUUAGCCUGGAAAUUUGGGGAGAACACAUUAGACAAAAUAACCAUGCUGCUUAAGAGUUUCAUUCCAGCUCUGAAAUUCAGAGAAAGAAAUGCAGUCCCCAAAAGAAGCAUUUGUGCUCCCUGAUAACAAAUGAAGAAACAGCUGCUCCACUGGCACUACUGGGAUGGACCUUGGAGGCAGGAAAAUUCAACAGACACACCAGAAGCCAAACAUGGAAGCAAACAAUGCAGCUCCUCCUUUCUGGCAUUAUCCAGCUCCAGUGUAGCCCCAGGAGCAGGAAUUCUCCCUGGUUUGCAGCUCUGGCCCAGUGAGUGCAUUUCCCUGGCUCACAGUGGGAAAGGUCCCAGCAUGGUGUCGGAGCAGCAGAGAUUCCACCAGGACCUGCAGCCCCACCCAGCUAAAACACGAGGAGCUGUUGUUAUCAGCAGCUCUGGGAGCUGAAAUCAAGGCCAAGACACCUUUAGGACACCUCUCCCUGAUAAAGGACAGCCUGGCCCUUCCAUCAUCUCCAGCUAUUUGAAAGACACCUUUUCCCUCUUUUGGCUCCUGGAAACUCAAAGCACUGCAGUACAUUUCAGCAACUGCUUCUUCCUGUGGUCCCAAAUUGCAGGAAGAAACCCACUAACAGUGAUGUCUCUGUGCCUUCAUGCAGUUAGAGCAGACCUGUGAGACUUUGGCAUCUGGCAGAUUCAUGAGGCAGGAAAUUUAAAAAUAAAUUUAAUGCUAGGCAUCAUUUACAGAUUUACCAGAAUAGAUGUUCAUCUACAGUCACAGGGUUAUCUUCCACAUUUCCCUAGAGUGCAGCAACAUCCUCCUUCUCCAGUGCUAAAAAACACUAAUAAAGAGUUGAAUCUAUCUUGCUAUGCCUGUACAGAGGUAGCACUUGCAGUAAAAAAGUACGUCGGAAUAGAACACAACAGCAGACAUUUCUUAUCUUAUUCUUCAACAUGACAUAGCAUCCCCCAUUUCUGCUCCCUUUGCUCCAUUAAAUUCCUCUAACCACACAAACUGAAAAUAAAUAAUCCUAUUUUAAAGCCAGACUUAAUUCUCAAAAAGAAUUUUCUUACCUGGUGCAAAGAUUUCAGGGAAACAUUUCCUCAGCAAAUGUUAUUACCUAGAUUUGCUCUAACCUCUAUUUUCCACAGGUGAGCUACAUUUCAGUAUGGAUAUGAGGACUUGCCUGCUGGCUUGCAAGAUUUUUUAACAAGAUUUUUUUGUUUUGAGUGUGUUCUCUGCCUUUCAGGUUUGCUUCAUUGCCUUCAUCCUUUCGAGGCUCUCUAAAAGAGAAUUAACCAUGUCCAUUCCCAGCUUUGCCAGCUCCACUACUGAGAAUAGUUGGGUGAAGAGGGGAAAUAUUGAAGCCUAAAAAAAAAAAAUUCUGAUAUUUCCACAAUAAAACCCCACAAAACAUUUAAUCUUAAUAAAAAAAGAGCUCUCCUGCACGUGAAGUCAUUCCCUGCUUGCUUCCUUCUCUUUGUCCCUGAGGUUUGUUAGCUGAGCUGGCUCCAUCCUUGGGCUAAGCAGGAGAACACAGGAGAGCAGCUGAGCACACAUUAACACCUCCUCCCCACCUGGACCACAGGUCUAAAACACUACAAGGGCUCAUGAUGCCCUGCAAGUAAUUAAAACAUUUGGCUCUCUCCUCCUCACUGAACCUUCCUCUUCUCAAAAGCACCUCUGUCUAAACAUGGGCCAAAUAAAGUGUGAAUUGAAAAGAGGACAGGGAAAUUAGAUCAAACUGAGUAUGUAGCAUUCUCAUUAUCCCUCAUGUCAGACAAGUCAGAAGCACUUAUGUAAUUGGGCCUCCAGACUCAAGGCAGUGAAGUGUUAAGACAAAAAAGCAAUCCCAGGACUGCAUGCUGGGUUUUGACAAAUAGAAAAACACAGAAUUAGGCCAAGAGCUUCUCCUUAAUGUGAGUUUUUAAUUGUAGCAUGUCAAACCCAGGUUCACCAUGUGGCACAUGUGGUCAGAGAGGUAAGAAAGUGUGUAGUGCAAAAGCUGGGAGAGGGAGGGAGGGGAUUCCCUGUGUCCCCGGGCACACAUUUGUGUGUGGAUCAGAGCAGAGCCCUGCUGAGAGCCCAUGACCCACAGUGCACAGAAACACAGGGGGAGGCAGCGGCCCAUGAGCAAUCCUUGAGAAAAGGGAUGGGGGUGGGGAAUUGUGCACAGGCCUUUUUUUAGCUUCUGCUGGAAAAAACAAAUAGACCUUUUAAUCUGUGCUCUCCUUGAAGCUUUCUCUAUUGACCAUUCAUUUCUUCUGUCCCUUCCCAGCUCUUUACCUCCUCUAUAUGGCUGAUGAAUAUGCAAAUGCAUAAUCAGUUCUGUAAUAGCCUAUCCUUUCUAAAAACAGGCUAUAAAUUUGGAUCCUGAGCAGCAGGUUCUAAAAAGCCUAUUAUAUGACAUGGCUGGGGGAAGAGACCAAACAGCAGAGCUCACCAGAGCUCUUUAAAACCUGUGUGAAUGCAGAGAGGAGGAGGGUCCUCCCCAGAGCCUUGCUGGCAGCCAGAGGGACAACACCUUCUGCAGAGCCAUGCACCAGAGCAGGGCCUGAGACACUGCAGGGGAGCUGAGGGCAUGCUCAGAUUUGGGGAGCUGAGGGCAGGCUCAGUUUUGGGAGCUGAGGGCAGGCUCAGUUUUGGGGAGCUGAGGGCAGGCUGGCUUUGGGGAGCUCUCAGAGCCACGGGGCAGGGUACUGGUGGUGCGGUGGGGCCGGGUGGAGCCGAGCCCAUCGCAUGCUCUGUCCAUCCCUACACCUCCAUGGAGCACACAGGCCCUGCUGGGGCACACAGGCCCUGCUGGGAAAUGCCUGCCCCCCAAACCUGGUCCCUGGCAGCCCCUCCCAGCUGCAGGUGCCACAGAGCCAGGUACAACACGAGCUGUCCUGCUCCACUGGAAUGCAGAAGGCAGCAGUGCCUGGAGCAGGGCAGCAUUUUGAGGCAGCUGUUCCCCAGCUCCCAAGGAGUCUCCUCCUUCCCUCUGUGCAAUAAACACAAACCCUUCUGUCCAAUACUUGCAUACACUUCCAUGUCUGCCAUUUUGAGGCCCUCCUCUGGUUUCUGCAGGGCUUUACAGCAUUCCUGGGUGCUGUUGCUGCAGGGUAGAAGGCAAGAACUGUUAGUGUGAGUUUAAUGAGAUGGGAUUGUCCUGCUACACAGGGACAGAAAGCUGAAGGUGCUGUGCCAGGUGCCUCAGUUCCAGCUUCUGAUCUGCGGUAAAUUCUGGAAGCCCACAGGAAAGAAUCAGGCCCAGGUGUGUUUUACAGGAACAGUGGGUACACCCAGGAACAGACACACCUUUAAGCCCCAGAAAGAACUGACAGGCCAGGUGGGAACUGAGAACUCCUGCUCAAACCUUGGCCAAGGCAGAGGAAAAAAAGUUCGUUUGCAACAGUUUCAGUGGCCCUGUCCCUGAGGCAGACAGGACAGUGCACUACACACUGCUUGCCCUGGGAACAUCCAUCACCCUGCUGGGGCACAGAAAUGGAAUGGCAGCAAUAAUGUACAUACCUCCCUCAGAAAAAUUAGAUAAAGGGACAGAAACUUGGACCUGGCUCUAAUUCCAACUGCUGCAUCCUGAACACAUCACAACUCUUCAUUUGCAGGUAGUGAAAUAAUAUUUGCAUAAUUCAUUGGAGUAAUAUGGCAAAACAAAAACAUAAAGGACAUGCUAUAAUCACAGAUACCCAAAACAUGAAAUAAUUUAUAAACACAACUUUACAGAAAUUGAUAUUUAAAACCAAAACCAUGUGAUCUUAUAAAAUGUUCAAAGUUGUGCAGACGUUCAAUGGAACAAUCAUGGAACAAUUUCCUUCUCCCCUUCCCUGUCACCUUCAACACAAUGUAUCUCACAAAGCAAUGCAAACUCUGCCACAACCCAACAAAGCCAGGGAUGACAGGAAGAAGGAAUGUUAAAAACUGAUUUUAAUAAAUCAUAUUACAAAACCCUAGGACAAGUUCACAAAGGAGAAGUGAGCUCUCAUUCACUACUCUGAAGAUGGGAACUGGGCUCCCCAGACAAGGUCCAAAGCCUUGAGCUGAGCUUUGCUGUGUGUCACUGCUCUGACAAUUCAGAGCCACUCUGGAGCCCUGUUUUUCUUUUUGUCUUUCUGCACUCUUGCAAGCUUAUUAACACAGUACUGUGUUCCUACCUCAAAGGUGUACUUGCUUGCAUCACUGGAAGAACAUCAUAUUCAUCCCAAACUCUGAUAACACUUUCACAAAUAUUUGCUUCACCUAAACUAAAAAUAAAGCCAAACUCCAAAAUACAGUGAGAGAAAAUAUUUUGAUCACAAAAUAAAACAUACCAGCAACCCAAGGCCGGGUUCCCAUGAAAUAAGAAGAAUUAAAAUAGGAAAAAAACAAUGGGUGGAUGUACUUAAAAGUAAUCUUCCUUAAGUAGUUAAAAUCUUUGGAUCCUGAAACACCACCAAAUCACCAUAAAUAAAGUACCAUAAUCCCUGCUCCUGACCCCAGGAAACAAACCAACCCCAACACCCCACAAUUUGCUGUGAUCAGCACAUCUCAGGCACAGGAUCUGGAGAUAAUUACCAGAAGGGAUGCUGGCAGAUUACAGGGUCCAUUCAGAGAACAUGCAUUUGCCACUUCUUCCCCAAACUUCAGAAGUCUUUCUUCUAAAGCAAUCCCUUGCACGUCCAGCUGCACGCCCUGGAGGUUGUGGAUCCAAGGGGAACAGCAAUAUUCUCUGCAGGAUGCUUUCAACUACUUAAAUCCUGACUGAAACUCUUCACAUAAAGUACCAGUUAAAUUGAAAACAUUACAAGAGAGGGGUCUGACAGUGGCAAAGAUACAACAUAGUGGCUACAGCUCAGAAAAUUUACAUGUUAUCAAAUGGGAAUCCAUGACAAACUCAGAUCUUCACAUGAGACUAUA